AAAGCCUACAGAUGAUUUGCAUGUUUGUUGUUUCAGUCAAGGAAUGGUCUGUUUGGGUCAGUGAUGUGGUGUCUGGGCUAAGAGAAUGACUCUAUCAGGAGGUAACACAGAGAGAAGAGCUUCAUCUCCCUUCUGUCCUGCACACCAGAUUAGUCAUGCAUCGCUUUGAACAAGAUCCCAAACCAGAUGUCAACCACUCUAACAAAGGACUUCCCGGGCCUCUGAGAAUCAAAAACAGAUAUCAACCACUCUAACAAAGGACUUCCCAGGCCUCUGAGAAUCCCAAACCAGAUGUCAACCACUCUAACAAAGGACUUCCCGGGCCUCUGAGAAUCCCAAACCAGAUGUCAACCACUCUAACAAAGGACUUCCCGGGCCUCUGAGAAUCCCAAACCAGAUGUCAACCACUCUAACAAAGGACUUCCCAGGCCUCUGAGAAUCCCAAACCAGAUGCCAACAACUCUAACAAAGGACUUCCCAGGCCUCUGAGAAUCCCAAACCAGAUGUCAACCACUCUAACAAAGGACUUCCCGGGCCUCUGAGAAUCUGUGAUAAUUGAUGAAUUGUACUGUAUUCACAAAGGAGGAAUAAAGGAG
rnacentral:lncRNA from 1 species